UUGGCUUGCUCGCUACUGGGGCUUAGCUGCAAAAUAUGGCAUCUGUGCAGAUGUUGCUGUGUCAAAACAUGAAUAUUGGUCAUCCUUAGCACCUCUUCCAUUUGAGGUUGUUGUUUCUGCUGGACAAAAGGCAAAAGAGGAAUGUUGGGAAAAAGGUGAUGGUGACAAUGAAAAGAGAAGCAAACUUGCUCAGGACCUUAGUGAUCUAACUGGAGAAGGGAACAUUGAGAGUAUGCUUUCAGUUGAAAUGGGGUUGAAGGAGCUUGCUUCUUUGAAGGUUGA
rnacentral:misc_RNA from 1 species